rnacentral:rRNA from 1 species
AGAGUUUGAUCCUGGCUCAGGACGAACGCUGGCGGCGCGCCUAACACAUGCAAGUCGAACGAGAGAGAAGGAGCUUGCUUCUUCGAUCGAGUGGCGAACGGGUGAGUAACGCGUGAGGAACCUGCCUCAAAGAGGGGGACAACAGUUGGAAACGACUGCUAAUACCGCAUAAGCCCACGGGUCGGCAUCGACCUGAGGGAAAAGGAGUGAUCCGCUUUGAGAUGGCCUCGCGUCCGAUUAGCUAGUUGGUGAGGUAAUGGCCCACCAAGGCGACGAUCGGUAGCCGGACUGAGAGGUUGAACGGCCACAUUGGGACUGAGACACGGCCCAGACUCCUACGGGAGGCAGCAGUGGGGAAUAUUGCACAAUGGGGGAAACCCUGAUGCAGCGACGCCGCGUGGAGGAAGAAGGUCUUCGGAUUGUAAACUCCUGUUGUUGAGGAAGAUAAUGACGGUACUCAACAAGGAAGUGACGGCUAACUACGUGCCAGCAGCCGCGGUAAAACGUAGGUCACAAGCGUUGUCCGGAAUUACUGGGUGUAAAGGGAGCGCAGGCGGGAAGACAAGUUGGAAGUGAAAUCUAUGGGCUCAACCCAUAAACUGCUUUCAAAACUGUUUUUCUUGAGUAGUGCAGAGGUAGGCGGAAUUCCCGGUGUAGCGGUGGAAUGCGUAGAUAUCGGGAGGAACACCAGUGGCGAAGGCGGCCUACUGGGCACCAACUGACGCUGAGGCUCGAAAGUGUGGGUAGCAAACAGGAUUAGAUACCCUGGUAGUCCACACCGUAAACGAUGAUUACUAGGUGUUGGAGGAUUGACCCCUUCAGUGCCGCAGUUAACACAAUAAGUAAUCCACCUGGGGAGUACGACCGCAAGGUUGAAACUCAAAGGAAUUGACGGGGGCC